CAGUAUCCCACUUUUUUUUUUUUCUUUUUUUAAAGAGAAAGAGAAAGUGCCAGCAGGGAGGGGCAGAGGGAGAGGGGGAGAGAAUCCCAAGCAGGCUCCACACUCCAGUGCAGACCCCAACGUUGGGCUCAAUCUCAGGACCGUGAGAUGACCUGAGCCAAAAUCAAGAGUCGGACAUUUAACCAACUAAGCCACCCAGGUAGGUCAGCUGUCUCUCCCGGUCCUGAAAGUAGUGGCCUUGUGUGGAAGAGGUCCUGUGGUGCCCUACAGCGCAAUCCCCCCAGUCACCAGAACCAGGCACUUUUCGAGCUGCUGCUUUGCUGUGUUCCUGGCGAGUUACUGAGCAUGCUGGUUCUUUAAAGGUGGGGACUCCGUUUCCUAUCAUCCUCGGGUUCUCCUGGACUUCAGCACUGUUGAUUUUCAAAGCCAGAUGUUAUAGGGGCUUGUCUUCUCAGUCCAAGUCCCCAGGGCCUGGGGUGGGGUCUGAUUCCCUCCUUCCUCCAUGUUUGGGACGCCCCUCCCAUUUGUGGUUAGUUGUGCUGGGAGUGGUCCCCAACUGCUGACACGGCCUUUCCUCUACAACUAGCUUGGGAAGACGCGGUUUGCCAGUCUUUCGGUCAUUUUCAGAGUUAGUACAAUACAUGUAGCUGUUGCCUUGGUUUGGCUGUGGGACAAAAUGAACUCAAGACCCUCCUACUCUGCUAUCUUCUCAUCUCCCUUUUUUUUAAUAAUUUUUUUUUUUAAACAAUUAUGGUUGUUUUGCUGGGAAGUGGAUCUCUGAAGCUCCUCUUCCAGAAAUCACUGGAAGUCACUAUCAUUCCAGUUCUCACCCACUUAAUUCUUAUGUCUUUUGAUGUCAUUUACAUGCCAGUUCUUCAUUUAAAGCGGCCAAAAUCGAUUCAUUCUUGAGAAACAAGGCCAUUCUUGAGAGCUCUUUUAUUCCCGUCACAAAUUACAGAAUAUUUUGAAACACUUGUGCAUUUCAAGAGAGGUAGGAAAAUAACUGAAGAAAUAGCAACUCUAAUUCUAUAAUUUUUUUAAGUAGGCUCCAUACCCAGCGUGGAGCCCAACAUGGGGCCUGAACUCAUGACCCCGAGAUCAAAAUCUAAGCUGAGAUCAAGAGUCGGAUGCUCAACUGACUGAGCCAUACAGGUGCCCGCAAUUCUAUUUAUUUUCUAGCAUAAAUUUCAAGGUUACUCUGCUUAUGUUUACAAAAAAAAAAAAAAAAUCAGAACUGAAACAACAACCAAAAGAACAAAAACAGCUUGUAAUGUAUUUAACCAUAAUUUUGUGACUAGCAUUUUCAAAGGAAAAAAUAUUUUUUUUACUUAAAACUGGAAAAAAAAAAUCCUAAUACAAAAUAGUAAUAGAUUUUUUUUAAAAAGUACAAAACAGUAAAAGUGAACUGUUCCCGGGGCGCCUGGGUGGCUCAGAUGAUUGAGCAUCUGCCUUCGGCUCAGGUCAUGAUCCCAGGGUCCUGGGAUCGAGUCCCGCAUUGGGCUCCCUGCUCCUUGGGAGCCUGCUUCUCCCUCUGCCUCUCUGUCUCUCUCUCUCUCAUGAAUAAAUAAAUAAAAUCUUUAAAAAAAAAAAAAAAAAGAACUGUUCCCUUUCCCAUCUGAGGAGCCACUGGUAAUAGUGGUUUUAGACCUUUUUAUAUGCAUAUAUUAAAAACACAGAUAUAUAUUUUUGGUGUUUUUUUUGUUUUGUUUUUUUAAGAUUUUAUUUAUUUAUUUGACAGAGAGAGACACAGUGAGAGAGGGAACAUAAACAGGGGGAAUGGGAGAGGGAGAAGCAGACUUCCCGCAGAGCAGGGAGCCCGAUGCGGGGCUUGAUCCCAGGACCCUGGGAUCAUGACCCGAGCCGAAGGCAGACGCUUAACGACUGAGCCACCCACGUGCCCCGGUGUUUUUUUGUUUUUAAUUGAAAAGAUCUAUACUGUUCUAAAACCUGCCCCUUUUCCACUUGAUACAUGACAUCCUUUUCAGCCAUCCAUAUGCAAAUGACUCAGGCCACAUUUCAUGAUACAGAUUUAUCACAGCUCUCCUGUUAGGUAUUUACAUACUUCGUUUCAUUAUCACAACAAAUAAUCAUACAGUAAGCAUCACUGUGCAGACAACUUUCCAUACUCCUAUAGAACAGAGCUGUCUUACUCUGAUCGCUGAGUUAAAGGGUAUCCAUAUAUUAAAUAGGGAUAAUAUAGGCCACAUUCUUCUCUAGAAUUGUAUCAUUUUCACUUCUAACAGUGUAUCAGAGUGUUUUUCCUCCAUAUCCUCAAAAAGAUUGGAUGUAACAGUCUUUUGCCAUCCUGAUGUAACUAAGUUUGUACUUUCCCUUUUUAACAAAAGAAAUGGAUAUUUCACUAAAUAAUGAGAUUGAGCAUUUUUUCAUGUCUGUUAUGAACUGAAUCAUGUUCCCCCCAAAUUAGUAUGUUGAACCUCUAACCCCCUCUGUGACUACAUUUGAAGAUAGGGUCUUUAAAGAGGUAACUAAUGUUAAAUGAGGCCAUAAGGGAGGGGCCCUAGUCCAAUAUAACUCGUGUCCUUAUGAGAAAAGGACACCAGAGAGAUGCAGGUGUACACAGAGCAAAGGCCAUCUGCAACCCAAGGAGAGAGGCCAUGGGAGCCAAACCUAUUGACAUCCUGAUCUUUGAUUUCCAGUCUCUAGACUGUGAGAAACAAAUUUCUGUUGUUUAAGCCACAGUCUGUGGUAUUCUGUUAUGGUAGCCCUAGCAAACUAAUAUGUCAUAUAAUGUUUCUUCCAUCAGCUGUCUAUUGAUACCAUAUGCUCACAUAUCUACUGGGUGGUGCUGUCUUAAUGACUCAAAGGACUUUGGAAUACUGGAUGAUACCUCUUUAAAUGCCCUGUAAAAACAUGUUCUAAAUAUAAGACUGAAAAUGAAGCUAGAAUCUUUGAGAUUAGUAUCCAUAUAAUUGAAAUUAUGACCCUAUACCAACAACACAUCCAAAUUACUCUUCCAGUAUAUAGAAUUUACUUUCCCAAUACCUAACCAAAAUUGGCAUUUGACAGAAAAAAAUCACAAAAUACUCUUCAACUCCCUGAGACAGUCAAAUGGGUCAGUAUAAGAGCAAAUCAAUUUGAUCUAAAAUGGAAAGACUCUUGGAGAUACUAAAAAUGCAUGAAAAAUCUUAAAGCAGAAUAAUUUGUUUCUCUCACUUCAUUUUUUACCCCAGUAGUCUAUAGUAUUCUACUGUAUGGACUGUACCACAAUUUGUUUAUUCAUUCACCUGUGAAAAUAUAUGGGUUGUUUCCAGUUUGAGUCUUUUAUGUCUUAAUUGUUUUACUUACU